rnacentral:rRNA from 1 species
AGUGAACGCUGGCGGUAGGCCUAACACAUGCAAGUCGAACGGCAGCACAGUAAGAGCUUGCUCUUACGGGUGGCGAGUGGCGGACGGGUGAGGAAUACAUCGGAAUCUACUUUUUCGUGGGGGAUAACGUAGGGAAACUUACGCUAAUACCGCAUACUACCUACGGGUGAAAGCAGGGGAUCUUCGGACCUUGCGCGAUUGAAUGAGCCGAUUUCGGAUUAGCUAGUUGGCGGGGUAAAGGCCCACCAAGGCGACGAUCCGUAGCUGGUCUGAGAGGAUGAUCGGCCACACUGGAACUGAGGCACGUUCCAGACUCCUACGGGAGGCAGCAGUGGGGAAUAUUGGACAAUGGGCGCAAGCCUGAUCCAGCCAUACCGCGUGGGUGAAGAAGGCCUUCGGGUUGUAAAGCCCUUUUGUUGGGAAAGAAAAGCAGCAGGUUAAUACCCCGCUGUUCUGACGGUACCCAAAGAAUAAGCACCGGCUAACUUCGUG